rnacentral:rRNA from 1 species
UACGAAGGGUGCAAGCGUUACUCGGAAUUACUGGGCGUAAAGCGCGCGCAGGCGGCCCUUUAAGUCUACCCGUGAAAUGCCGGAGCUCAACUCCGUGCACGCCGGGGGAUACUGGGGGGCUGGAGACAUGUAGAGGCAAGCGGAAUUCCGGGUGUAGCGGUGGAAUGCGUAGAUAUCGGAAGGAACGCCGGUGGCGAAAGCGGCCGACUGGACCUCACCUCGACGCUGAGGCGCGAAGCCAGGGAGCGAACGGGAAUAGAAACCCGUAGGUAGUCCAAGACCGAUGUACCUCUGCACCAG